UUUUCAUAAAAUUUUGGCUCAAUUGGGUUAAGGAAAUCCCUUUAUCAACACGUAAAUGCUUAAAUUAAAAAAAAUUUGUUGUCCGAUCAAGUGUUUAUCCAUAUGCGGUUAACUUCAUUUUUAGGAUGAAUAAUUUAAUUCAUAUUACGCCAAAGAUAGAUGGUUUUGAUUGCCAAAAAAGAUCUCAUGCAGGCUCAGUUAGUGCAGUAUAACACUUAAACGUCUCUGAAGGCAUAAAAUGCCUUUUGAUCACGAGGUCGUCGAUAUCAAAUGAUCUCCGAUUUUGGUGACAGUGCUAUAAUCGGUAAGACGCGUAAUCCUAAUGGUUCAGAUUGAGUAUUAUAAAUAAUGGCUCGGCAGUUACCUUUACAAUUUAUACUUCUGAUCUAAUUGAUGAUCAACUAAGUCUUAUGUUACACUUAUUGUUGCAGCAGUUACACAACCGCGAAACAAAUCAUGACGAUCAAGACCGUUGAUUUUGUUGCACUUGUCAAAUUAUUCAUUAUCGUAAAUUUGCAGCUCGAUCAAGUUUAGGAAAUUCCUUCAUGGAGACAUGGACUCAUUAGAAAAAUAGUAUUUUCCGUUCGAUGAGUUGUCUAAUUAAAAGCGAUCUCAACUAUAACUCGGUAAGAAUGAUCUAAUCCAUAUUAAAUUCAAGAUGGAUGGUUUUGAUCUUGCAAAAAGACCUCAAGUGUGGCUCAGGUGGUGUGCUAUUAGACUUUAAUGCUUCUGGAAGCAGUAAAACUAUUCCGAUCAUGUGGUCAUUGAUACUGAACGAUCUCCGAUUUUGGUGACAAUUCUAUAAUUAAUAAGACGUGAAAUCCUAACGAUUCAGAUCAAGCAUUAUAAAAAAUAUCCAUGGUGAUAAAAUUUAGAGUUUAUAUGCAAUGGUGGUGUAAUUAAAGCUCACUAUAUUUUUUCCCAAAUUCUCAAAGUAGAUAAUUGCCGACUAAAUUAGGUUCAUUAGUCGGGAAAAUCGUAAUUUUUUUUGCGGGACAAUUGAAAUUUUCGCGAAAAUUGUUGGCGGCAGUCUCUUACCAAAAAAAUCCCUCGAUCAUUUUUGGUAUUCGAUAAUACAAGGUUCCAAAACGCGGAAUCACUGCCCCUUCACUCUCCCACCGUCCCAUGAUUGAAACCCCUCCUCACCUCUCUCUCUCUCUCUCGAAUUCUCGAUCGAUGAAGAAGUUCUUCUCCCCCUUGCCCUCUUCUACUCUCCUCCUCCUCUGUUUUUGUUUGUGCUGUGACACAUGAAAACGAGUAUGUUAGCACCGCUGGUCUCCGCCGUUGGCAAGAGAGAGAUCCCACAAGGAGCAACAACACGUGACAGAUACAACAACCAGGUUGAUUCUCUCUCUACUUAUCUCGCUUUGUCUAUCUCUCCCUCGUUUCCUUCCUCUCUCGCUAUACAUUUAUGCAUACAACCCCUAAUUUCAGAAACCCUAGUUUUUUUGUUGACAAGAAACCAAAUUCAAAAAACCCUUAAUUUUUUGCAGAAAUUAAACCCAAUUUUGAAAUUCAUUGGAGCUUUUGUUUAUUCUGAUUGUUGUUUUGUACAAUUUCUUGGAGUUUCAUUUGAUUGAAGAUCUUCUCACUUGAUUCCGUGGAAGUCCGGUGUCGCUGACGUAACAUUCGUGCUCUGAGAUCUACAAAGGUGUGGCCUUAAAGUGUAAAAUUCUUCAUGAAAGGCGAGGAUGGUGGCGAUGCGUGACGAGGCAGUGUUGGAGCAGGGUGAUGGUGGCUCGAAUAUAUGGUGGGGAUAUCAUAAGGACUGUCAUUGUGACGUUUCCUGCUCGUAGGGAAUAGAUUCUGUACGGAGUUGGUGUUUUUGUAAGAGACGGCAUUUUAAUGGAGUAUCGUGCGGGAUGUUGGUUAUUGACUACGAAGGUCGAAGUUGGGUUUUGGUUGCGGACGUGCUUGGAUUUUUUUUGGUUAUCCGUUUGUUGACGUUGAGUGUCCACGGGGUUUGGAUACAUUUUUUUAUUGAGCUUGGAUUUUUUUUAUUUUCCCCCCGUGGUGGACGUGUUGUUAUUUUGCACUCUAGGAAUUUGGAUACAAGUUUUUUAACUAUUUGGUGAACAUCUCUAUUUAUGAAAGUUUCUAUUUAUUUCUUGAAA